rnacentral:rRNA from 1 species
UACGUAGGGUGCAAGCGUUAAUCGGAAUUACUGGGCGUAAAGCGUGCGCAGGCGGUUGUGCAAGACAGAUGUGAAAUCCCCGAGCUCAACCUGGGAAUUGCAUUUGUGACUGCACGGCUAGAGUGUGUCAGAGGGGGGUAGAAUUCCACGUGUAGCAGUGAAAUGCGUAGAGAUGUGGAGGAAUACCGAUGGCGAAGGCAGCCCCCUGGGAUAACACUGACGCUCAUGCACGAAAGCGUGGGGAGCAAACAGG